AUUAAUAAGCCUAUUUUAUUAAUACAUUUCUCACCAUGGAGAGAUGUGUUCUACUGAUUCUUAUAACAGUACCAGGUGUAUUUGCUGACAGCAUUGAACCAAAAGACAAGGACAAUAUAAUCAGGAGAGAAGGAGAGUCUGUGACACUGAGCUGCACAUAUGAUGCAAGCAGCAAUUAUGCUAUGCUUUACUGGUACAGACAAUAUCCAAACAGAGAACCUCAAUAUUUACUGCGUAAAGGUGCUCGAUCAUGGAACCGAGAAGAGGAUAUACCAGACCCUCGGUUUCAGUCAAUUACAUCUGAAUCAUCCACUGAACUCACUAUUAAAAGUGUAACUCUGUCAGAUUCGGCUCUCUAUUAUUGUGCUCUAAGAGUUGGAGCCCAGUGA